GAGAAGGAGCAUGGCGGUCAUGUGCCUGGCUUGAAACCAGUGUUUGGUGGUUCAAUUCCAUCCUUCUUCGAUUG
rnacentral:tRNA from 1 species